UAGGGUGCGUUUGGUUGGUACGAUCUAGAACAGGAUCGAACAGCUGGUGCACAUGGAGCAGCCUCAUGCCAACCAAACGGUACUCCAGAAACAGAGCACAUUUUCGUGGAAAAAUGUUUGAAACUUGAAAAUGUGUAUGGGUCACCAUGGUCACUUUGUACGGUACAACGAGUCCAACCCAAAAGCGUAUGCACGUGAUCAUUUGGGACCAAAAUCGAUGUUCCCGCCAGGUUUCACUGUGAAAAAGUGAAACUGCUCGGUCUGCUCUGGCCUCGAGGCCGGAGCAAGCAGAACAUGAUCGAACAGCUGGUGCACAUGGAGCAGCCUCAUGCCAACCAAACGCUACUCCAGAAACAGAGCACAUUUUUGUGGAAAAAUGUGCCGAACUUGGUGCAUUCUUCAAAAUGUGUAUGGAUCACCAUGGUCACUUUAUACGGUACGACGAGUCCAACCCAAAAGCGUAUGCACGUGAUCAUUUGGGAACAAAAUCGAUGUUCCCGCCAGGUUUCACUGUGAAAAAGUGAAACUGCUCGGUCUGCUCCGGCCUCGAGGCCGGAGCAAGCAGAACAUGUUCUGGCCGACCCAGAACAGGUGCAGUCCCAACCAAACGCGCUGUUCUGGUGAAUCCUGUUCUAGUUCGUACCAACCAAACGCGCCCCAAUUGUCCUUGCACUGAAUGAUGGUCCUACAAUUUACGUGCACUCCACACUUUCUUUGCAGUUUCCUUUUUGUUAUACAGUUGAACAUCGAUUAUCCGCACAUCGACUAUCCGUAACAGUUUUUUUGGGCGCACGUGCCGUAGAGUACGCACUGUGCAUGUAGUGAGCCAUUCAAAAAAUACGAAAAUUUUGAAAAGUAAAAAG